UGAACGGCAACGAAGCAGCAAGGAAGGGGCACUUUUCCUCCGCAGUAAGCUGUCUCGUUGUGGGGUAUCAAAGCUGGAAAAUUGCGAGCAUUUUCCGCACGUGGAACCAGACAAGCGAGAAAAAUCCCUAUCUGCAGCAGCGUGGAGAACAAUAAUAGCAGUCUCCAUUUCCGUAAACUUACCAUGUGGCUUCCUUUCCCGAUGGAUGACGUCAGCAGCAGUGUUAUGAACUCUUGUAUCUCCUUACUUUGGAUGAUAAGCUUUUCACACUAAUCACGUUCCCGGCACCGCUGGUUUUAUUUUUGGACAACGAAUCAUUUCAUAAAUAAUAAAUAGAAUGGACUCAAACAGUGAACCAAUUCCGACAACUUCGACAUGACUCCGUUAUCUGUUUUAUUAUUAGAUCUAACUAAGCGCGGACUGUUUGAUCAGCUGAACUGUCUCAUUAGUAAUUGAAGGGGGAUAAAAAAGGAAAACUACAUAUGUUCUAGAAUUUGCGCAGUAAAAUGAAAGAAAGUUUCACAUUUAGUCAAAUUUUAUUGCUUAGUUGCUGUCAGUAAUAAAUCUGCCUGAAAUAAUUUUUCCCAGAAAAGUAAAUCAUUUCCGGAGCACAUCCGCAAUGCAAAACCCCAUAUAUCAACGUUGAUUUCAAAUUCAAACGACUAAUAACCAUGAGCAUCGUCAGUUCGUCUUAAAAAUCAAUGAUUCAUCAUCCGACUGAAUGUAUUCUUCCUUCCGCACGCGGCAUUCAAUUCCGAACAGAAUAGUAUCCAUUCAAAAGCCUACACAGUGAAGCCUUCCAUUGAAGCGCUCAUUCAGAUUCGAGAAAACCUAUCACUUUGGCACUUGUAUCUGUUAUUUUUUUUUUUUUUGUUAUUUUAUUUUUGUACCAUUUUGAUUUGCCUUCCACUAUGUAUUGUAACUUCUGCGGGAACCGAAUUGUGAAACCCAUAAACACCGACUCGGUUCACGACAACAGCCCCAGCCAGCCGGACUCGUUCAGCACAGGCACAGCGAUUUCCGGCUGAUACAUUAUUGCCCCGUGUGUCGUCGCGUUGCGUUGUUGCGAUGGCAAGCUAGGUGAUGAAAAUGUGCGUAUAAAUCUUGGAAAUUUGAGCGAAGGCCGGAGAAUGUGACACAUGAAGCGGUGAAAGCUUUAUUGCUCCCUCAAACUAGAGUGAACAUUGGUAUAAUUAUCACAAAAGAUAAGAUAUAAUGAUUUCUUAUACAAUACGAUUCAACUCGAG